GGGGGGGCUACAGUUAGAUAAUAUUCUGGUCAGCACAUUCGAUAAACUACAUGGAAUUCAUUAAAUCACUUCUUUUUCUUUCAGUGGUCUUCAACUUUUAAUCUCCAAGAAGGAAAUGUAAUUAAAAGAUGAAUAAAGUAUCCCUAAGAAUACCAGAAGAAAGGCUAUGUGUUGAGAAAAACAGCCCUUCCUCAGUACCUCAGAACUAGAUGAUAGCCCUUAAUUGUUACUUUAUGCUGAAUAUGACACAGUAUAGAAGAUCUGAUCAUGAAGAAGUAACACCAUUGAUACACUUGCCAACUGCCAAAAUUACUUUCUGAUAGUAUGGCGAGAUUAGAAGAUAUCAUGGUGUAGUCAUGACACAAACUGCAAAUCAAAGAAUUAAUUGUCUUCCCCAGAGGAUGAACAGAGCACGAUGGCUUCACAUGGAUAACAUUUCCUUUCGAGUUUUGAAAUUAAUUUGUCAGAAUGUUAUGCAUCGUUAUCAACAGAAAAGAACUUCAUAGGUAGACCAAAGCUGACAUGGGAUGAGAUCCUAGAACAAGACCUAGAGUUUACAGGAUUGGAUAGGAUCAAUCCACUGGGUCGCCAAGUGUGGAAGUACAAACUUCAACCUCGACAGGACAGCCAGGCCUCACCCUUGCAAAAAGAUUAAUUUGGCCUGGAUAGUCAAAAUGAGUGAUGAUGAUUGAUAUCAAGGUCUGACACUGGAAGCUCAGUAAGGGUAGAUGCUGGCAAUGGAGCUGUUUAGCAAUAAAACAAACAAGUUUAACAUUAAACAUGUUUGUAUACUUUUUUGGCUCACCUGAGCCAAAGGCUCAAGUGAGCUUUUCUGAUCACCUUUGCCUGUCGUCUGUCUGUUUAUAAACUUUUCACAUUUUCAUUUUCUUCUCCAGAGUGAACCACUGGGCCAGUUUCAAUCAAACUUGGUAUGCAUCAUCAAUAGAUAAAGGGUAUUCAAGUUUGUUCAUAUAAAGGGUCAUGCACCCUUCAAAAAGGAAAUAAUCAUGGAAAUGCAAAAAUAGGGUGGGGUCAUUUAAAAAACCUUUUCAAGAACCACUGGACCAGGAAAGUUGAAUUCACACGAAAGGUUCCUAUUUUGUGCAAAUCAUGGUCUCUGGGGGUAGGGUGGGGUCACAAUAGAGAAUCAAAGUUUUACAUUCAUAUAUAGUGCAUAUUCAAGUUUGUAAAAAGCUCACAGGGGUAGGGUGGGGGUCACAAUAGGGGAUUUAAGUUUUACAUGUGAAAUAUAUACAAGGAAAAUCUUUUAAAAUCUUCUCCUCAAAAACUAGAUGCAGAACCGUAGCUCUUUGAAAAGAGAGCUUCAGAUGAACCCCUUAUAAAAAAAACUUCAAUUUAUGGCAGAGAAAAAAAGUGCAUGUUUAAGUCCCUCUAUCACUGCAUUCCUGCAUCGCUGUCUCAUGAAUUUAAUAUUAAAUAAUUCCCAACAUAUUUUCCCACUAUACUUGUUUCCAAACAUACUUUCAAAUAUUUUCUAAACCCACAUACAACCCCAAAACAGCUUCAAGUGAUUUCAAUUUCUUUGUUGAUGUAGCCAUGUUAAGUAGCCAGUCGAUUUGAACCCCAGUUCAUUUCCAUACUCAUACUCAUUUUGAAACAUAAUGUUUGUGUGAACUAAUAUCCUCACAAAUAUUUUUAGUGAAAUAUUUUGGAUGAAAUCAUCCCAGUUGGGUUAAAUACUUAUUAUUCAAAUACUGUAGGAUUGAAUAUUGAACUUAUCUCAGAGCUUUCUUAAGUUUGGUCCCCAUCCCCGCCAGUCUGUUUUUACGCUUAACUAUUGAAAUGGGGUGUAAGGGAUCAGACUAUGCUUUUAUAGCAUUAUCAAUUUUCAAAAGCUUUAGAAAAAUUAUACAAUUUUAGGUCACUUGAGUAAACUCAGAUGACAUAUUGCUAUUGAUCUGCAUCUGUUGUAGUCCGUCGACAUUAACAAUUGAACAUUUUUAACUAAAUUCAAUAACUGAAAGAUGAAGAUACCGCACAGCGAUCAAUCUACGAUUCAAAUAACGGAAUUCUUUUCAAAUUUAGUAUGAAGCACACAAAUUUACAUUAAACCUUCUUGACAUAGUGCAUAUUCAAGUUUGUUAAAAUCAUUUCCCCGGGAGUUAUGGUGUGGUAACAAUAGGGGGUCAAAGUUUUAUAUGCUAGCUGAUAUAAAGGAAAAUUCUUUAAAGAUAUCUCUUGAACUAUUUAAGCUAGGGCUUUCAUAUCUUGUAUAUACAAUUUUUAUGACAAAACAAAUCUGACCUAUUCAGUAUGUCCUGAACUACAUUGUAUUUAAGGUAGAUCUUUCAUAUAUAUUAUAUAUUAUGAAUUUCUUAUGAUAAAACCUUUCAUCUUGUUGAGGAGCCUCUCACCUCUGGUUGGCGCAGGUUUGAAUCCUGCUCGCACCGGUAAUUGAGAAAGUUUCCCAGUUUACUCUCGGAAGGUCGGUGGUCUCUUCCCAGGUACAUUGUAUCUGGGUUCUCUCUUCCACCAAUAAAAACUGGGCACCACCAGAUAACUGAAAAAUUGUUGAGUGUGGCGGAAAACAGUUAAAACAAUCAAUCAUAUUAUGUUAUUUGACCUUGUGACCCUGAACUCUGAGUUUGACAUACUUUUAAGAAAGUAUAACGUAUUAAGUAUAUCCAGGACUAUUUUAGAUAGGGCUUUUAUGUUUUGUAUAUUGAUUACUUAUGGCAAGGUCUUUCAUAUCAUACCAAGACCUACGACUUUUUACCUUGGUCUUAUCCAGAACAGCAAUAUCAUGCUAGUCAUAUCUUUGUCUUAUAUGAUUUCAUUUUAGUAAUGUUGUGUUCUUUAGAGCUAGGUUUGGGUCACAUUAUUCAUGAGAAUAAAGAUUGAUAAAAUAGCAUUUAAAAAUCAAAACAGCAGGGCCAAGAUGACUCAGGUGAGCGAUGUGGCCCAUGGGCCUCUUGUUGAUUUUGAUAUUUCUACCUAUAUCAUUUGUAUGAGAAAUGGAACUCCUUUUUUUCUUUUACAAAUACAUGUAUUAUCAUAUGGAUCCAUCUUUGUUGAUUAUUUAAUCAAAGGACAUAUUCAAUGUAUUAAAUGUAAAUUUAUGGAUAUGUCUGUGGUUGAAUUACUUAUGUAUGUAUGUAUACAUUUUUCUCGCACAUGCAAUUACAUAUAUAAUGUAUAUAUAUUUACUAAUUGUACAUGUAAUAUCCCCUGUUAUAUAAUAAAAUAUAUGACUGAGAAUAAAA